ACUCCUACGGGAGGCAGCAGUGGGGAAUCUUGGACAAUGGGCGCAAGCCUGAUCCAGCCAUGCCGCGUGAGUGAUGAAGGCCCUAGGGUCGUAAAGCUCUUUCGCCAGGGAUGAUAAUGACAGUACCUGGUAAAGAAACCCCGGCUAACUCCGUGCCAGCAGCCGCGGUAAUACGGAGGGGUUAGCGUUGUUCGGAAUUACUGGGCGUAAAGCGCGCGUAGGCGGAUUAGUCAGUUAGAGGUGAAAUCCCAGGGCUCAACCCUGGAACUGCCUUUAAUACUGCUAGUCUUGAGUUCGAGAGAGGUGAGUGGAAUUCCGAGUGUAGAGGUGAAAUUCGUAGAUAUUCGGAGGAACACCAGUGGCGAAGGCGGCUCACUGGCUCGAUACUGACGCUGAGGUGCGAAAGUGUGGGAGCAAACAGGAUUAGAUACCCUGGUAGCGACUGA
rnacentral:rRNA from 1 species